AACGAACGCUGGCGGCAUGCCUAACACAUGCAAGUCGAACGAGACCUUCGGGUCUAGUGGCGCCCGGGUGCGUAACGCGUGGGAACCUGCCCUUAGGUUCGGAAUAACUCCCCGAAAGGGGUGCUAAUACCGGCUAAUGUCUUCGGACCAAAGAUUUAUCGCCUUUGGAUGGGCCCGCGUUGGAUUAGCUAGUUGGUAGGGUAAAAGCCUAUCACGGCGACGAUCCAUAGCUGGUCUGAGAGGAUGAUCAGCCACACUGGGACUGAGACACGGCCCAGACUCUUACGGGAGGGAGGAGUGGGGGAUAUAGGACAAUGGGCGAAAGCCUGAUCCAGCAAUGCCGCGUGAGUGAUGAAGGCCGGAGGGUUGUAAAGCUCGUUUACCCGGGAUGAUAAUGACAGUACCGGGAGAAUAAGCACCGGCUAACUCCGUG
rnacentral:rRNA from 1 species